AUGGCCGGCGACGGCGCCGGCGCGGCCGGGCUGCUCCUCCUGGCCCUGGCCGCCCUCGUCGCGGCGGCGGCGGCGGAGUCCGAGGGCGACGUGCUGCUGGCGCUCCGGGCGACCCUGCGCGGGCCGUCCGGCGACGGCCCCCCGGCGCCGCUCGACCAGUGGGUCUCCUCCGCCGGCACCGGCCCGUGCCAGGACCCGGUCUGGUACGCGGUGCGGUGCUCCUCCAACAAGGUGCUCGGCCUCCGCCUCGAGUACCUCGGCCUCCAGGGCAACGCCCCCGACAUGGCCCCGCUCGCGGCCCUCACGUCCCUCCGCGUGCUCAGCUUCGCCAACAACAACCUCACCGGCCCGUUCCCGCCCGGGCUCACCGAGCUCCCGGCGCUCAAGAUGCUCUACCUCUCCCGGAACCGCCUCAGCGGCGAAAUCCCCGGCGACACCUUCGGGGCCAUGAUGGGGCUCAGGAAGCUCUUCCUCGCCGACAACACCUUCACGGGCGCCAUCCCAGACUCCAUCACCUCGCCCAAGCUGCUCGUGGUGCAGCUCGCCAGGAACCGCUUCCAGGGCAACAUCCCGGACUUCGACCAGAAGGACCUCCAGCUCUUCGACGUCUCCCACAACCGACUCUCCGGCCCCAUCCCGCAAGGCCUCCGCCGGUUCAAGGCCGCCUCGUUCGAAGGCAACACGGAUCUCUGCGGCGCGCCGCUCGACGUUGCGUGCCCUCCGUCGGCGCUUCUCGGCGCCUCACCAGAUUCCGACUCAUCAGGCAGCCUGAGGGUCCUCAUGAUCAUCGCCAUCGCGGUGGUGGCGUUCGGCGGCCUCCUCGCCAUCAUCGGCAUAAUCACGGCGCUCAUGUCCCGCAACAAGGACAAGGACGAGCCGGCCGACGCCACCGAGACACCCGGCAUUGCCGCGGCCAAGAUGCAGUCCACGGCCGACAAGUCCAUCAAGAUCGCACAGGCUGACUCGGAGCAGCACGGCGUGGUGGCGCCGGUGCCGUCCAAGCGCGGCGGGCGGCGCGACGGGCUGGUGUUCCUCCAGGAGGGCCGGGAGCGGUUCGAGCUGGAGGACCUGCUCCGGGCGUCGGCGGAGGUGCUCGGCAGCGGCAACUUCGGCGCGUCGUACAAGGCGACCCUGGUGGAAGGGAAGCCCAUGGUGGUGAAGCGGUUCAAGGAGAUGAACGGCGCCGGGCGGGCGGACUUCAACGAGCACAUGCGACGCCUCGGCCGUCUUGUCCACCCCAACCUCCUCCCCGUCGUCGCCUACCUCUACAAGAAGGACGAGAAGCUGUUCGUCACGGAACACAUGGUCAACGGCGGCCUGGCUCAAAUCCUCCAUGGCGGAGCGACGUCGAGCCUGCGGCUGGACUGGCCGGCGCGGCUGAAGAUCAUCAAGGGGGUGGCGCGCGGGCUGGCGUACCUGUACGAGGAGCUGCCGAUGCUCACGGUGCCGCACGGGCACCUCAAGUCCUCCAACGUGCUCCUGGACGCCGACAUGGAGCCCAUCCUGAGCGACUACGCGCUGGUCCCCGUGGUGACGCCGAGCCACGCGUCGCAGGUGAUGGUGGCGUACAAGGCGCCCGAGUGCGCGACGGCGGGGCGGGCGAGCAAGAAGAGCGACGUGUGGACGCUGGGCAUCCUGGUGCUGGAGCUGCUGACGGGCCGGUUCCCGACCAACUACCUCCGGAAGGGGCGGGAGGGCACGACGGACCUGGCCGGCUGGGUGCACUCGGUGGUGCGGGAGGAGUGGACGGGCGAGGUGUUCGACAAGGACAUGCGCGACACCCGCAGCGCCGAGGGCGAGAUGGUGAAGCUGCUCAAGGUCGGCCUCGGCUGCUGCGACACCGACGUCGCCGCGCGCUGGGACAUCAAGGAGGCACUGGCGCGCAUCGAGGAGGUCCGCGAGCGCGACCCCGCCGACGACAGCAGCACCGCCUCCUCCUACCUCAGCGACGGCGCCGGCGCCGGCGCCGCGAACGACCACCCGCACUCCCUCUCGACGUAA
rnacentral:rRNA from 1 species